rnacentral:rRNA from 1 species
AUUGAACGCUGGCGGCAGGCUUAACACAUGCAAGUCGAGCGAGCGGCGGACGGGUGAGUAAUGUAUGGGGAUCUGCCCGAUGGAGGGGGAUAACUACUGGAAACGGUAGCUAAUACCGCAUACUAUCGGAUGAACCCAUAUGGGAUUAGCUAGUAGGUGAGGUAACGGCUCACCUAGGCGACGAUCCCUAGCUGGUCUGAGAGGAUGAUCAGCCACACUGGAACUGAGACACGGUCCAGACUCCUACGGGAGGCAGCAGUGGGGAAUAUUGCACAAUGGGCGCAAGCCUGAUGCAGCCAUGCCGCGUGUGUGAAGAAGGCCUUCGGGUUGUAAAGCACUUUCAGCGGGGAGGCGUUACUCGCAGAAGAAGCACCGGCUAACUCCGUGCCAGCAGCCGCGGUAAUAC